AUGAACAUCCUACAAGACCUUAAGCAUCUCAAGCACAUUAGCUUGCCGGCGAGGCUUAUCAUUUGCAAGUGCCUUCUCAUAGUGAUUGGCCUUAUUGUAUUGAGAGCAAUUAUCUCCCCUUUUCUUGCCAUCAGCUCUUCCGAGAAGAGUUUUUAUGACUCACCAACCCUUGACUUGUUCCCUGGAGUUAGGAAAGGCAAGUUUGUUGAGGUCCCGCAGAUUAUAUGGGGAUUGAACAAUCAGAAAAUUGCAUUUGCCAGAGCAUGCUUGACGGCAAAAUUCAUGAACCGUUCUCUACUCAUGCCAAGUCUGAGUGCUUCGCUUUUCUACAAAGAGGUUGACUUGCUGCAGCCUAUUGCUUUCGACAAGGUAUUUGACCUUAAUAAGUUCAAUGCCCGCUGUCAUGGGUUUGUAAGGGUGGCUCGGUAUUCAGAAGUUUCAAAUCGUACCGAGCCUUUCAAACUUCAAAAGGGCAGUGGUAGGAGGUGGACAGUGGAGAGAGAUUUGGAUCAACUGCAACAAUCCAGAUUGGGGGAGGCCGAUGGCUUUGAAGUGAUUCAUGUCACUGGGAAGCAUCCAUUUCUGUGGCCUGAUCAUUGGCCAGUGAAAGACUAUGCCAGGAUCUUCGAUUGCCUUGCUGUAGCUCCUGAGAUAGAAACUGAAGUUGUCAGGGUCAUAUCCAAGAUUAAAGAUGCAGGGAAAAAAGCAAGACAUGAUGCUGCCGUUUCUCAUAAUAAGAAGAGGAUAGAUGGUUUGAAAAAUCUUCCUGUGCAGUACAUUGCUGUUCACAUGAGAAUAGAGAAAGAUUGGAUGAUUCAUUGCAAGAAGUGGGAGCAGCGGUCCAAUUUAAAGGAAAUUUGCAGCAGCAAAGGAGAGAUCAUUCAUAAGGUCUCACAGAUCACUGACCUACGUCGCCCGGUUGUAGUUUACCUUGCAGUAGCCGACAGCCUUCUAGAAGAUGAUUCAGUAACCAGUGGUUGGAGAGUUGGUAUGGUUGCUUAUGAGAAGAAGAAACUUGGAGUUACUGACAUAUACGAGAAACAGCCUUACCUUAUAAAGUCUGCCAUCGACUUUGAGACUCACAAGAACAAAGGCAUUAUGGAAGAAAAGGACUGCCCCGUCGAAUCCUUCAAACACGAGGAUGACAAGAAAAGCACACCACCAGAAAUAGCAGUUGCUGAUGAACCGUUCCCAUUCUUCGGCCUGCUUUGCUACGCCGAUGCGCUAGAUUGGCUGCUCAUGGUAUCAGGGACAAUUGGGUCCUUCGUACACGGCAUGGCACCUGCAAUGUCAUAUUACAUACUUGGCAAAGCUGUCGAUAUGUUUGGGGACAACAUAGGCAAUCGGGAGGCAAUUGUCCAUCAACUUACUAAGUUACUUCCAUAUAUGUGGUCCUUGGCAAUUAUUACACUUCCUGCUGGAAUGAUUGGAAUUACAUGUUGGAUGUACACAAGUCAGAGACAAAUGACACACAUGCAGAUGGCAUAUCUGGGAUCAGUACUCAGUCAAGAUGUCGGAGCUUUUGACACCGACUUAACCACCGCGAACAUCAUGGCCGGAACAACUAAUCACAUGAGCGUCAUAAAAGAUGCAAUUGGAGAGAAGAUGGGUCACUUUAUUUCUAAUUUCUCCACAUUCCUAGUCGCUGUCAUUGUUGCUUUUGUGUGCUGCUGGGAGGUGGGUAUGCUCUCUGUGUUAGUUGUUCCGAUGCUUCUUGUGGUUGGAGCAACAUAUGCUAAAACAAUGAUUGGCAUGUCGAUGACAAGGACAGCUUUGGUCUCUGAAACAACCACUGUUGUGGAACAGACUCUUUCACAUAUCAAGACUGUCUUCUCAUUUGUUGGAGAAAACUCGGCGAUGAAAUCCUUUGUGAAAUGCAUGGACAAGCAAUACAAGUUAAGCAAGAAAGAGGCAUUCAUAAAAGGACUAGGUUUGGGAAUAUAUCUCUCAAAUGCAGCUCCAGACCUUCAGAUCUUCAGUCAAGCAAAAGCUGCUGGUAAAGAAGUGUUUAAGGUUAUCAAAAGAAAUCCAGUGAUAAGUUCUGGAUCAAAUGGAAGAAUAUUGGAGAAGGUCAUUGGUGACAUUGAAAUACGAGAGGUGCAUUUCACAUAUCCAUCCCGUGAAGAUAACCCAAUUCUCCAAGGUUUCUCACUGGCUGUACCGGCAGGCAAAAUUGUGGCUCUUGUCGGGAGUAGUGGAUGUGGGAAGAGCACUGUGAUUUCUUUGGUUCAGAGGUUCUACGACGCUAUGUCAGAGGUCACUGAAGCAGCAAAAACAGCUAAUGUGCACACCUUUAUUUCCAAACUUCCAAACCAAUACUCAACUGAGGUAGGAGAAAGAGGUGUGCAACUAUCAGGAGGCCAGAAACAGAGAAUAGCGAUCGCAAGGGCUAUUCUAAAAAAUCCUCCAAUUCUUCUGCUUGAUGAAGCCACAAGUGCUCUUGAUUCAGAAUCCGAGAAGCUAGUUCAGGAUGCUCUUGACAGAGCUAUGCAAGGGAGAACUGUCAUCUUGAUUGCCCACAGAAUAUCAACAAUUAUAAACGCGGACAAGAUUGUUGUUGUGGAGAAUGGAAGAGUAGCUCAUUCUGGAACUCAUAGAGAAUUGCUGGAGAAAAGUGCAUUCUACUCGAGUGUAUGUAACAUGCAGAAUCUGGAGAAGGAAUCUGGCCAGAGUAGAGACAGUAACAUCUUUCAGCACUAUAUUUAUGGCCUGGUCGGUGAAAGGGCGAUGAAUAACCUAAGGGAGGCCCUCUUUUCAGUCGUUCUUCGGAGCGAAGUAGGUUGGUUCGAAGAACCCGGGAACAGCGUCGGCUUCCUGACCGCACGUGUUGUCAGCGACACCUCAAUGAUCAAAACGGUUAUAUCCGACCGGAUGUCCGUCAUCGUUCAGUGCAUCUCUUCCAUCCUGAUAGCAACGGUGUUAAGCACAGCAGUGAACUGGAGGAUGGCUCUAGCCGUAUAUGCUAUGAUGCCAUGCCACCUAAUCGCCGGCCUCGUACAAGUCAGGUCAGCGAAAGGCUUUGCCACUGACAAUUCCACUUCCCACCAGAAGCUCAUCUCGCUCACCUCAGAGGCCGUCAGCAACAUCCGCACCGUGGCGUCUUUCGUUCAGGAAGAGGAGAUACUCAGGAAAGCGGACUUGGCACUUCAAGAACCGAUGCAGACUAUCAGGAUGGAGAUCAUCAAGUACGGGGCGUUGCAGGGGGCUGCCCUCUGCCUAUGGCACAUGACGCACGCCAUCCAGUUGAGCUGCAGCAUUGCGCUGAUUGGCAAUGGACUGGCAACGUUUGAAAACUGUGUACGGUCAUACCAGACGUUCGCGCUGACGGUGCCUUCCAUCACGGAGCUAUGGACCUUGAUCCCUAUGGUCAUGUCGGCGCUCGCGGUACUGGACCCUGCGCUCGACAUUCUUGACAGAGAAACAACGAUUGUGCCGGAUGUACCAAAAGUGUCUCAUGAUGAAGAAGACAGAAUUGUGGGUGGCGUCGCGUUUGAAGGCGUCAGCUUCAGCUAUCCCUCCAGAGCAAAGGUGGCCAUUCUGGAUGGCUUCAGUCUCGCCAUUGAGCCAGGCCAGAGGGUCGCCUUGGUCGGCCCGAGCGGCGCCGGGAAGUCCACGGUGUUCGCGCUCCUGCUAAGGUUCUACGAGCCUAGCCAAGGAAGAGUGCUCGUGGACGGUAAGGACAUCAGGGGCUACAACCUGAAGUGGCUGAGGAGGCAGAUAGGGCUGGUCCAGCAGGAGCCGAUCCUGUUCAACCUGUCCAUCAGGGAGAACAUCAGCUACGGCAACGAAGGCGCGUCGGAGGCGGAGAUAGUGCAGGCCGCGACGGAGGCCAACAUCCACGAGUUCAUCAGCGGCCUGUCGGCGGGGUAUGGCACCGUGGUCGGGGACAAAGGGAGCCAGCUUUCCGGGGGGCAGAAGCAGAGGAUCGCCAUCGCCAGGACCAUUCUGAAGAAGCCUGCCAUACUGCUGCUGGACGAGGCGACCAGCGCCCUGGACGGCGAGUCCGAGAGGGUGGUGAUGAGCUCCCUGGCCGCGAAGGGGUGGGGGAAGAGCAGUAUCGGCGAGGUGUCGUCGAGCACGACCACGAGCAUCACGAUCGCGCACCGGCUGUCCACGGUGGCGAACGCGGAUGUGAUCGUCGUGAUGGAGAAAGGUGCGGUGGUCGAGAUGGGCAGCCAUGAGGCGCUGGUCUCUGUGAGCAAUGGUGUUUACUCGCGGAUGUACCGUGUGCACGUCAAAGGGGCGAAGGACUGA
rnacentral:rRNA from 1 species